ACCCCAAGAACCCGGCAUGCAAAGUCAGAAUCCUCUCCGGUGCCCCGCCAGAGAGCGCACUUUGCGUCCCGGGGACCCCUCGGGAGGAUCCGGGGCUGGACCAAACCGCGGUCGCGUGGGCGCAUCCCUCACCGCCCGGCGCCCUCUCCCGGGAUCCUAGGCAUCCGCAGAAGGCACCGGGGCCACGGCCACGUGCAGAGCCCGGAGUGCCGCUUGCAGGAACAGGAUCCCGCCAGGGAGCAGCCCGCGAAGUUCCCACCUUAAGUUCCGUCGCGGCGUCCCCUCCUUGGAGCUGGCCCGGCCGCAGCUCGGUCCCCCAGUGCAGCAAUGCCGGGGUCCAAGCGCACACUAGGUCGUGGACCUCUCCCCGCACUGCCGCGGGCGCUGCGUCAUGUCUGGAGGGUACUUCAUGCCUUGCAGCCCGAGAACCCCAUGCUGCACUCCACCUAAACAUCGCCUUCCAGGGGACCACACCAGCCAUACCACGUGCCUUCUCCACUGCUUCCACACCGCUGGACUGAACAGUAGCUUCUUCAGGGAUUGUGGGAGGACCCAGGACUGUCCUGUGACAGCAGAAUUGGUCACCACAGCAAGUCAGCUGCUGUCCCGAUGGAGGACCACAGGACCAGGAUGUGAGUAAUUCUCAAAGCCUCCCUGUGGUCGGACUCUUCUGGAGACUUCUUCAAAACCAGUGGACUCUGCUUGUGGCCCUUCUAGCAAGUUCCCUGGUCUGAGAUUUUGGCGACUUCGGUCCAGCCCAUCCCUGCCUGACCUUAGAGCUCACCAGAAAUACUUAGAUGGACUGUGAGGCUCAAGCUACCUCCUUUGUGUUUAGGAUCAGGGGACCUCACGGCCACCUCUGAACGAAGAGGGAGUAUGCCGGUGGAGUGGGCCUGUCAGGACACCAGGCACCUGGAUCUGGUGCUGGGGAUGACUUGCAGAGAAGAUCCAGGACAGCAGGGGCAGACUCCCUCCUUCCUUGUCACCCCCAUCUAGUCUCAGACCCAGGCUGUUCUCAGGGGUGAAUUUAUGAUUUUAUCCCCCGCUGUGCUUCACCACGUCCAGUAAAAUCCUCCUAAAUCCUUUUAAGGAAUCCCUCUCUGCAGUCCCUCCUUCCUGUGGAGCCUUCCAGAUCCUCGGCUCUCCCUGCCUCCAUCACCCUUCUAAGAAGCAUCGCUGCCCAAGCUGUCCUGUGGAGAAGGAUGCUGCUGCUGCUGCUGCUGCUGCUGCAGGCUUUCUGGAAAAGAUGAGGGCCAUCAGACUUGCUGAGCCCGGUGUGACCUGUGGGGAACAGGCACACACUUGACCAGCAGACGGCUAUGGCACACAUCCUGUGGGAACAGGCACACACUUGACCAGCAGACGGCUACGGCACACAUCCUGUGGGAACAGGCACACACUUGACCAGCAGACGGCUAUGGCACACAUCCCUGUCUUAUUUGUCUCUCCUGGGUUAAGCCUUAAUAAUUUUGAAAUUGAUUGCCACCAUUUUAAAAACCGAGGUUUCAUAUGACAAUUUUUUUUUCUUUUGAAAAGCCGGCAAAUCUGACAAGCAUUCUUUGUUGUUUUUAUUCAUUGGACAAAGGGCUUCUUGUGACUCAAGCUGGCCUUGAACUUGCUAUGUAGCUAAGGAUGACCUUGAAUUUCGGGUCCUUCUGUCACCCCCUUCCAAGUGCUGGGCCACAGGUGUGCACCAUUAUCAUAAUGCUUGUUUUUAAAAUUUAAUUAAAAAGUGAUUAUUGAGACGGGGUUUGAUGGGGUUUCUUGAAGACCAGGCUGACCUUGAACUUGAUACGAGUCUGAGGAGGAUGAACUUGAACUCUUGGCCCUCUUGCCUUCCUAGCCAGCAUCUUUAAGGAAGCAAUACUAGUGUGGUUUGUUUCUCAGCCUACAUUUAAGUCAUCGCUCCGCCUCCAGGAGCCAGAGCUGGUGUAGGUCAUCUUUGCAGAUCUCGAGUCCCAUGGUAGAUGGCAAAGCCAGAGCUGAAGCCAGGCCAAACUGACCCCCCCAAACCUUAACUCACACUGAAAACCAAACAGCACUCCCCUCCAGGCUCCGGAGAUGCGUGAGUGCUGCCUCAGAGCGUGCCUUAAAAGGGAGCUGCUGUCAGCAGGUUAAGAAUGUUUUCCUUCUUAGCCACUAGCCACUGUCAGCAGUCACCAAGUCUGGGGCUGGUUUUCCAAGGCAGCAACGGUUGUCUACAGCUGUCUGAAGUUCUUAUCCGUCCUCUGCCUGAGAUGAAAAGGCUUAGAUUAGACUUGUGAGUUAUAAGAGGCUAGAGCUCAAGACCCCGAAGGUCUUAUUUGGGCAUGCGAGGGGUGCAACUUGCUGUAAGGGAACUGCUGAGUCUGCUGAGGCGAGCCAGGAAGAUGAGCAAGGUUCCUUUCUCUCUGGGAGACUCUGUCCUCUGGUCACUCUGUCCCCUUUCUAUGCUUCUGAUUCUUGACAGACCUGUUCCCCUGCCCUAGGUCAUCCCAUAGUUUUCCUUUGUCACCCUGAGACUCCCCAUGCAGACCAGGUGUAGGUGUGGGCAGUGUGUGAGGAUGCGUCCCUCAAGGACAUGCCUUUACUUAGUUGUUGAAAGCUUGACAUUUAGCACAUCCUGGAUUAUUUUUUGACGUUAAUUUUGAUAUUUUAAAAUAUUGUAUCGG